rnacentral:rRNA from 1 species
UUCGACCUGAACUCAGACGUGAGUACC